rnacentral:rRNA from 1 species
GUGUGUGGCCAAACCACCCUGAACACGACCAAUCUCGUCUGACCUUGGAAGCUAAGUAGGAUUGGGCCUGGUUAGUACUUGGAUGGGAGAUAUAUGGUUUGGACCAAACACA